CCUACGGGAGGCAGCAGUGAGGAAUAUUGGUCAAUGGACGGAAGCCUGAACCAGCCAAGUAGCGUGCGGGAUGAAGGCCCUACGGUUCGUAAACCGCUUUUGCACUGUGAUAACACCCUCCCCUUUUGGAGGUCUGCCUGUACCGUUCGAAUAAGGGCAGGCUACUUCCGUUCCAGCAGCCGCGGUAAUACGGAAGGCCCGAGCGUUAUCCGGUUUCAUUGGGCUUAAAGGGAACGUAGGCGGGCGUUAAAGUCAGCUGUAAAAUCGCGCGGCUCAACCGCGCCCCGCAGUUGAAACUGGACGCCUUGAGUUCACAACAGGCAGGCGGAAUUCGUGGUGUAGCGGUGAAAUGCAUAGAUAUCACGAGGAACCCCGAUUGCGAAGGCAGCCUGCCGGGGUGCGACUGACGCUGAGGCUCGAAGGUGCGGGUAUCAAACAGGAUUAGAUACCCCUGUAGUC
rnacentral:rRNA from 1 species